rnacentral:snoRNA from 1 species
UAGACCAAUGAUGAGUAUGUGCCAUGAAGAGGAUCAUGAUUAAUCUAAUUCUAGGCAAAAAAAAAAAAGCUCUCCU